GAGUGGAAGCAGGUGGCCCAGGGCGUUUCCACCGAGGCAAGAGCGGGUCUUAUCUGCCUUACGUCGGCCGUGCGUCAUCAGUCUGCGACAAGGGCACGGUUGCUCUGUUCAAGAAGUGGUUCCGCUGUUGUCGCGACAAUGAGCUGCACCCGGGCGGCGGCGGCUUGCUGUCUGUGGCAGCUGCGCACAGGCGCCCCGAGGUCCCUCUCAGCUUAUAGAAGAAGCAGUGUCAGAUUUUGCAGUUCGGGAGUGACCUUAGACAGUAUCAGUCGGGCAGCUGUGGAUCGAAUAAUCCGGGUGGAUCAUGCAGGUGAAUAUGGAGCGAACCGCAUCUACGCAGGGCAGAUGGCCAUCCUGGGUCGGACGAGCGUCGGGCCAGUCAUUCAGAAAAUGUGGGAUCAAGAAAAGGACCACUUGAAAAAGUUCAAUGAGUUGAUGGUUGCAUUCAGGGUGCGGCCAACCAUUCUGAUGCCCUUUUGGAAUGUGCUGGGCUUUGCACUGGGUGCAGGAACUGCCCUGCUUGGGAAGGAGGGCGCAAUGGCCUGCACAGUUGCUGUGGAAGAGUCCAUAGCACACCACUACAACAACCAGAUCAGGAUGCUGAUGGAGAAGGAGCCUGAAAAGUAUGAAGAGCUUCUUCAGGUGAUAAGGAAAUUUCGGGAUGAAGAGCUUGAGCACCAUGACAUAGGCCUCGAACACGACGCAGAACUGGCUCCAGCGUACGCUGUUCUGAAGAGCGUUAUCCAGGCUGGAUGCAGCAUGGCAAUUUAUUUAUCAGAAAGACUGUAAACCUUCAAGCCAGCAGAGCAUGUGGAAGCCUUGAUCUUCUGAGGUGCUGGGGCUGUUUCUUGCCUUCCUGUAUCAAAGCUCAUUUUAGGAAAUGUGAUUUUAAAAUGGGACACCAUCCAAAGAUCAUGCCAGGAUGACAAAGGAUAUUAUUCAUGCAAGCAGUGCAAUUCCAAAGAUGUGAUCUGAGCUAUAGUUCUUUGCAUGUUUUUGAUUCCCUUUCUACUCAGAAGUGGUCCACAGGGCUUCCCUGGUGGCGCAGUGGUUAAGAAUCCACCUGCCGGGCUUCCCUGGUGGCGCAGUGGUUGGGAGUCCGCCUGC